rnacentral:lncRNA from 1 species
UCGGAAGUGCAAAGUAUGCAAGUCGAAGGGAUGAGUGCAGAAAUUCGUCCUUGUGUUACAAGAUUGACGAGGCUCGGCAAUUAGAGCAGCAAAGACAGCAGCAUCCUGAUGCAUGAGGUGCGACUAAUGACAAAGUCUGCAUAAGCCGAGCAAACUUGCCACUUGCCGAGGCGCUGCUCACACCCACACGAACGAAAAUCCUCCCUACCCGCGAUAUGACCCAUUGUGCAAAUGCUCUGCAAGGAAAUCCCCGCCUCCUCAAUCAAGUCAUGGACCUAUCCGACCAAUAAGCGGGCAUCGUUCAAAUGGCCAACAGCCAUGUGAAACACAAAACUCAGAUAUAUGGCAAAAGCAAACAGUUGGCAAGCCUGCCAUAAUGAAGCGUCCUCUUGUGCCGCUGACCAACACAGCUUGGUUAUUGCCGCGGGCUCCACAAUGCGGAAGUGGAGACCCUGCAUAAGAACAGACGAAACGGUUAAAUAUGCCAAUUCCAACGACUAACGGUUGGAUUUGAGCGCGAACAGCAGUUUACCCCCCAAGCUUGCGGCCCAGACUUACCGUGCACGAUACUGUGCUAAGGCGCCUCACGUACGUCGCAGCCUCGUUAGACCUGAGGCCGCGCACUCGUGCAGCUUUCAAACAGAAAGCCUGUGGAAGUGGAGACCCUGCAUAAGAACAGACGAAACGGUUAAAUAUGCCAAUUCCAACGACUAACGGUUGGAUUUGAGCGCGAACGGCAGUUUACCCCCCAAGCUUGCGGCCCAGACUUACCGUGCACGAUACUGUGCUAAGGCGCCUCACGUACGUCGCAGCCUCGUUAGACCUGAGGCCGCGCACUCGUGCAGCUUUCAAACAGAAAGCCUGCGGAAGUGGAGACCCUGCAUAAGAACAGACGAAACGGUUAAAUAUGCCAAUUCCAACGACUUACGGUUGCAUUUGAGCGCGAACGGCAGUUUACCCCCCAAGCUUGCGGCCCAGACUUACCGUGCACGAUACUGUGCUAAGGCGCCUCACGUACAUCGCAGCCUCGUUAGANNN